rnacentral:rRNA from 1 species
GUCGAGCGGAAAGGCUCCUUCGGGGGUACUCGAGCGGCGAACGGGUGAGUAACACGUGAGUAAUCUGCCCUUGGCUUCGGGAUAGCCACCGGAAACGGUGAUUAAUACCGGAUACGACACAUCACUGCAUGGUGCGUGUGUGGAAAGUUUUUUCGGCCAGGGAUGUGCUCGCGGCCUAUCAGCUUGUUGGUGGGGUAAUGGCCUACCAAGGCUUCGACGGGUAGCCGGCCUGAGAGGGUGACCGGCCACACUGGGACUGAGACACGGCCCAGACUCCUACGGGAGGCAGCAGUGGGGAAUAUUGGACAAUGGGCGGAAGCCUGAUCCAGCAACGCCGCGUGAGGGAUGACGGCCUUCGGGUUGUAAACCUCUUUCAGCACAGACGAAGCGCAAGUGACGGUAUGUGCAGAAGAAGGACCGGCCAACUACGUGCCAGCAGCCGCGGUAAUACGUAGGGUCCGAGCGUUGUCCGGAAUUAUUGGGCGUAAAGGGCUCGUAGGCGGUUUGUCGCGUCGGGAGUGAAAACACCGGGCUUAACUCGGUGCUUGCUUUCGAUACGGGCAGACUAGAGGCAUUCAGGGGAGAACGGAAUUCCUGGUGUAGCGGUGAAAUGCGCAGAUAUCAGGAGGAACACCGGUGGCGAAGGCGGUUCUCUGGGAAUGUCCUGACGCUGAGG